UACGAAGGGGGCUAGCGUUGCUCGGAAUCACUGGGCGUAAAGCGCACGUAGGCGGAUUGUUAAGUCAGGGGUGAAAUCCUGGAGCUCAACUCCAGAACUGCCUUUGAUACUGGCGAUCUCGAGUCCGGGAGAGGUGAGUGGAACUGCGAGUGUAGAGGUGAAAUUCGUAGAUAUUCGCAAGAACACCAGUGGCGAAGGCGGCUCACUGGCCCGGUACUGACGCUGAGGUGCGAAAGUGUGGGGAGCAAACAGG
rnacentral:rRNA from 1 species